CCCUCCCUUCUUCUCCCUCCACGCUGCCCCUCACCCUGUUCUCUUCAGGCUGUCUGGCUGCCUGCGAGGGUCUCCCUGGGCACCCAGCUCCUCCACAGGAGGGUCCCAGGCCAGGCCUGCAGGGAGGCUGGGGCAGGUUCUCAGCUUGGCCUCGGGCUGACCCCACUUCUCAGAUAGAGAAGCCCAUAUUUAGGGUAUAAUGGAGGAGUACGGGGAAAGGAAUUAAGACACUGAUGUGGGGAUGGGAGGGCAGAGGGGAAUGUCGGGGGGACAGCGGGGAGGGGAGGUUGAUUACAGCCUCUCAGGAUGAUGUGGAUGGGUGGGAGGGAGCAGCGACCAUGGAGGCAGAGACAGUUGGGGGCACCUUAGAGGGAGGCGCAGAGGGGUGGUGACCUUGUCCCCGGAGGGACCUCCUCCUGGGCUCCAUGCUCAAGAGUUGAGGUGGUGUGGGCUGAGGAGGCCAGAGGUCAAAUGCAUGGGAAUCAGAAGUCUGGCUCCAGAGAAUGAGAGCAGCGAGCCAGUAGGGCCAGGCUGCUUUAGGACCAAGGUGGCAGCCAGAGACAGUGGCAGUGGAGAGCCGGGAGGAGACUGACUCUAACAAGGGGAGGUUAGGAAUUUCAUCAGGGGCCAAAUGGUUCGAAUGUUUGUGUCACUCAAAAGUCCCAAGGGGAUGGUCUUAGGAGGUGGGGCCCUUGGGAGGCGAUGACGUCAUAAUGUGAAGCCCUUGUGAAUGGGAUUCCUGCCCUCGAAAUGGAGGCCCGGAGAGCUCCCUCGCUCCUUCCACCACAUGAGGACAUAACCGGAAGGCACAGGCUGUGAAUCAGGGAGCCCUCCCCAGACACAGGAUCGCCUGGCACCUUGAUCUUGGACUUCCCAGCCUCCAGAGUGGCAAAACUGAUAAAUGAAGAAGGAAACCAAGGCUCCUGCCACUGAGUGUGUGUCUCCAAAAAGCACAAAGAUCUUCCAGCUGUUUACUAACGUGGUGCCUCUGUCUCCCGACCCCCCACCUGUCCCUUCAAGCAUGGUCACCCACAUGUGCUCAGAAUUGGGCACCUAGUCAGCAGCUCCAGUGGCUUCCAGGACUCUCCUAAAUUGACUUCUGACUUUUAGAAAAGGUGGAGUCCCCUUUUCUGCUGCUGCCCUGGAAGGUGCUGAAGCGGAGCUCAGACUUAGGCUGCAGGAAUGAGCGAGGGGCCCCUAAGAGCCAGCUCUGGCAUUUGUUGGGGAAUGGGUCACUGGUCUCUAGCAGCAGGAAUGGCAGUGAUUCCUCAGCUCCUCUUGAGUGCUGACCAGGUGCUUGGUGCUCUUCCAGGCCCUUCAUGUGAACUGGCGCCUCUCAUCCUCACGUAGCACCGUGCCAGUGGUCAUUUUGUUAUCCUUGUUUAUAAAGGUGAAUGAGGCCAGGCGCAGUGGCUCACGCUUGUAAUCCCAGCAUUGUGGGAGGCCAAGGUGGGUGGAUCACUUAAGGUCAGGAGUCCGAGACCAGCCUGGCCAACAUGGUGAAACUGUCUCUACUAAAAAAAAAUACUAAAAAACCUGUCUCUACUAGAAAAAUAUAAAAAUUAGCCGGGUGUG
rnacentral:lncRNA from 1 species